AGGACGACGCUGGCGGCGUGCCUAACACAUGCAAGUCGAGCGAAGAAUACAUAAAGAAAUCUUCGGAUGGAAUUAUGUAUUUCUUAGCGGCGGACGGGUGAGUAACGCGUGAGGAACCUGCCUUGUACUAGGGGAUAGCCUCGGGAAACCGGGAUUAAUACCCUAUGACACUUGAAAGUCGCAUGACUUUCAAGUCAAAGCGAUUUAGCGGUACAAGAUGGCCUCGCGUCCCAUUAGCUAGUUGGCGAGGUAAUAGCUCACCAAGGCGACGAUGGGUAGCCGGCCUGAGAGGGUGAACGGCCACACUGGAACUGAGACACGGUCCAGACUCCUACGGGAGGCAGCAGUGGGGAAUAUUGCACAAUGGAGGAAACUCUGAUGCAGCGACGCCGCGUGAGCGAUGAAGGUUUUCGAAUCGUAAAGCUCUGUCCUAAGGGACGAUAAUGACGGUACCUUAGGAGGAAGCCCCGGCUAACUACGUG
rnacentral:rRNA from 1 species